GGCCUAACACAUGCAAGUCGAACGGUAGCACAGAGAGCUUGCUCUCGGGUGACGAGUGGCGGACGGGUGAGUAAUGUCUGGGAAACUGCCUGAUGGAGGGGGAUAACUACUGGAAACGGUAGCUAAUACCGCAUAACGUCGCAAGACCAAAGAGGGGGACCUUCGGGCCUCUUGCCAUCAGAUGUGCCCAGAUGGGAUUAGCUAGUAGGUGGGGUAACGGCUCACCUAGGCGACGAUCCCUAGCUGGUCUGAGAGGAUGACCAGCCACACUGGAACUGAGACACGGUCCAGACUCCUACGGGAGGCAGCAGUGGGGAAUAUUGCACAAUGGGCGCAAGCCUGAUGCAGCCAUGCCGCGUGUAUGAAGAAGGCCUUCGGGUUGUAAAGUACUUUCAGCGGGGAGGAAGGUGUUGUGGUUAAUAACCGCAGCAAUUGACGUUACCCGCAGAAGAAGCACCGGCUAACUCCGUGCCAGCAGCCGCGGUAAUACGGAGGGUGCAAGCGUUAAUCGGAAUUACUGGGCGUAAAGCGCACGCAGGCGGUCUGUCAAGUCGGAUGUGAAAUCCCCGGGCUCAACCUGGGAACUGCAUUCGAAACUGGCAGGCUAGAGUCUUGUAGAGGGGGGUAGAAUUCCAGGUGUAGCGGUGAAAUGCGUAGAGAUCUGGAGGAAUACCGGUGGCGAAGGCGGCCCCCUGGACAAAGACUGACGCUCAGGUGCGAAAGCGUGGGGAGCAAACGGGAUUAGAUACCCUGGUAGUCCACGCCGUAAACGAUGUCGACUUGGAGGUUGUGCCCUUGAGGCGUGCUUCCGGAGCUAACGCGUUAAGUCGACCGCCUGGGGAGUACGGCCGCAGGUUAAAACUCAAUGAAUUGACGGGGGCCCGCACAAGCGGGGAGCAUGUGUUUAAUUCGAUGCACCGGAA
rnacentral:rRNA from 1 species